rnacentral:rRNA from 1 species
AGCAGCCGCGGUAAUUCCAGCUCCAAUAGCGUAUAUUAAAGUUGUUGCAGUUAAAAAGCUCGUAGUUGAAUUUCGGGGUCAGUAGGUCGGUCGUGCCACUGGUAUGAACUGGUUUUACUGAUUCCUCCCUCUUGAAGAACUGUAAUGCCAUUAAUUUGGUGUUGCAGGGAAUCAGGACUGUUACUUUGAAAAAAUUAGAGUGUUUAAAGCAGGCUUUAGCUUGAAUACAUUAGCAUGGAAUAAUGAAAUAGGACGUUUGAUCCUAUUUUGUUGGUUUCUAGGAUUGACGUAAUGAUUAAUAGGGAUAGUUGGGGGGCAUUAGUAUUCAAUUGUCAGAGGUGAAAUUCUUGGAUUUAUUGAAGACUAACUACUGCGAAAGCAUUUUGCCAAGGAUGUUUUUCAUUAAUCAAGAACGAAAGUUAGGGGACCGAAGACGAUCAGAUACCGUCGUAGUCUUAACCAUAAACUAUGCCGACUAGGGAUCGGAUGAUGUUAAUUUUUUUAAUGACUCAUUCGGCGC